rnacentral:rRNA from 1 species
UACACAUGCAGUCGAGCGGUAGCACAGAGAGCUUGCUCUCGGGUGACGAGCGGCGGACGGGUGAGUAAUGUCUGGGAAACUGCCUGAUGGAGGGGGAUAACUACUGGAAACGGUAGCUAAUACCGCAUAACGUCGCAAGACCAAAGUGGGGGACCUUCGGGCCUCAUGCCAUCAGAUGUGCCCAGAUGGGAUUAGCUAGUAGGUGGGGUAACGGCUCACCUAGGCGACGAUCCCUAGCUGGUCUGAGAGGAUGACCAGCCACACUGGAACUGAGACACGGUCCAGACUCCUACGGGAGGCAGCAGUGGGGAAUAUUGCACAAUGGGCGCAAGCCUGAUGCAGCCAUGCCGCGUGUAUGAAGAAGGCCUUCGGGUUGUAAAGUACUUUCAGCGGGGAGGAAGGCGAUAAGGUUAAUAACCUUGUCGAUUGACGUUACCCGCAGAAGAAGCACCGGCUAACUCCGUGCCAGCAGCCGCGGUAAUACGGAGGGUGCAAGCGUUAAUCGGAAUUACUGGGCGUAAAGCGCACGCAGGCGGUCUGUCAAGUCGGAUGUGAAAUCCCCGGGCUCAACCUGGGAACUGCAUUCGAAACUGGCAGGCUAGAGUCUUGUAGAGGGGGGUAGAAUUCCAGGUGUAGCGGUGAAAUGCGUAGAGAUCUGGAGGAAUACCGGUGGCGAAGGCGGCCCCCUGGACAAAGACUGACGCUCAGGUGCGAAAGCGUGGGGAGCAAACAGGAUUAGAUACCCUGGUAGUCCACGCCGUAAACGAUGUCGAUUUGGAGGUUGUGCCCUUGAGGCGUGGCUUCCGGAGCUAACGCGUUAAAUCGACCGCCUGGGGAGUACGGCCGCAAGGUUAAAACUCAAAUGAAUUGACGGGGGCCCGCACAAGCGGUGGAGCAUGUGGUUUAAUUCGAUGCAACGCGAAGAACCUUACCUGGUCUUGACAUCCACAGAACUUAGCAGAGAUGCUUUGGUGCCUUCGGGAACUGUGAGACAGGUGCUGCAUGGCUGUCGUCAGCUCGUGUUGUGAAAUGUUGGGUUAAGUCCCGCAACGAGCGCAACCCUUAUCCUUUGUUGCCAGCGGUUAGGCCGGGAACUCAAAGGAGACUGCCAGUGAUAAACUGGAGGAAGGUGGGGAUGACGUCAAGUCAUCAUGGCCCUUACGACCAGGGCUACACACGUGCUACAAUGGCAUAUACAAAGAGAAGCGACCUCGCGAGAGCAAGCGGACCUCAUAAAGUAUGUCGUAGUCCGGAUUGGAGUCUGCAACUCGACUCCAUGAAGUCGGAAUCGCUAGUAAUCGUAGAUCAGAAUGCUACGGUGAAUACGUUCCCGGGCCUUGUACACACCGCCCGUCACACCAUGGGAGUGGGUUGCAAAAGAAGUAGGUAGCUUAACCUUCGGGAGGGC